rnacentral:misc_RNA from 1 species
GAUGAAGAACGUAGCGAAAUGCGAUAAGUAAUGUGAAUUGCAGAAUUCAGUGAAUCAUCGAAUCUUUGAACGCACAUUGCGCCCCCUGGUAUUCCGGGGGGCAUGCCUGUCCGAGCGUCAUUACAACCCUCAAGCUCAGCUUGGUGUUGGGCCCCGCCGCCCCGGCGGGCCCUAAAGUCAGUGGCGGUGCCGUCCGGCUCCGAGCGUAGUAAUUCUUCUCGCUCUGGAGGUCCGGUCGUGUGCUUGCCAGCAACCCCCAAUUUUUUUCAGGUUGACCUCGGAUCAGGUAGGGAUACCCGCUGAACUUAAGCAUAUCCAAUAAGCGGAGGA